rnacentral:rRNA from 1 species
GACGAACGCUGGCGGCGUGCCUAAUACAUGCAAGUCGAACGGAGCGGCGGACGGGUGAGUAAUGCCUAGGAAUCUGCCUGGUAGUGGGGGAUCACGUCCGGAAACGGGCGCUAAUACCGCAUACUAUCAGAUGAGCCUAGGUCGGAUUAGCUAGUUGGUGUGGUAAAGGCCUACCAAGGCGACGAUCCGUAACUGGUCUGAGAGGAUGAUCAGUCACACUGGAACUGAGAAAGGGUCCAGACGCCUACGGGAGGCAGCAGGGGGGAAUAGUGGACAAUGGGCGAAAGCCUGAGUCAGCCAUGCCGCGUGUGUGAAGAAGGUCUUCGGAUUGUAAAGCACUUUAAGUUGGGAGGCGUUACCAACAGAAUAAGCACCGGCUAACUUCGUGCCAGCAGCCGCGGUAAUUC